rnacentral:rRNA from 1 species
UACGUAGGGUGCGAGCGUUAAUCGGAAUUACUGGGCGUAAAGCGUGCGCAGGCGGUUCGUUGUGUCGGCGGUGAAAGCCCCGGGCUUAACCUGGGAAUGGCCGUCGAAACUGGCGAACUGGAGUGUGGCAGAGGGGGGUGGAAUUCCGCGUGUAGCAGUAAAAUGCGUAGAGAUGCGGAGGAACACCGAUGGCGAAGGCAGCCCCCUGGGCUAGCACUGACGCUCAGGCACGAAAGCGUGGGGAGCAAACAGG